rnacentral:rRNA from 1 species
UACGUAGGGCGCAAGCGUUGUCCGGAAUUAUUGGGCGUAAAGAGCUCGUAGGCGGUUUGUCGCGUCUGCUGUGAAAACCUGAGGCUCAACCUCGGGCUUGCAGUGGGUACGGGCAGACUAGAGUGCGGAAGGGCAACUGGAAUUCUUGGUGUAGCGGUGAAAUGCGUAGAUAUCAAGAGGAACACCUGCGGCGAAGGCGGGUAGCUGGGCCGACACUGACGCUGAUGCACGAAAGCGUGGGGAGCAAACAGG